AGCUAACGCUUUAAGCAUUCCGCCUGGGGAGUACGGUCGCAAGAUUAAAACUCAAAGGAAUUGACGGAAACUCAAAGGAAUUGACGGACACUCGAGAUGGAAUCGAUCGGACACACAUUAGAAUUGAUGGAAAGCGUGUAGACGUGGGGAGUAACUCAGAUGUGAAAACCUUCCGCUCAACGGAAGAAGUGCAUUUGAAACUGCUUGGCUAGAGUACGGGAGAGGAGAGUGGAAUUCCCGGUGUAGAGGUGAAAUUCGUAGAUAUCGGGAGGAACACCAGUGGCGAAGGCGGCUCUCUGGUCCGAUACUGACGCUGAGACGCGAAAGCGUGGGGAGCAAACAGGAUUAGAUACCCUGGUAGUCCACGCCGUAAACGAUGGGCACUAGGUGUAGGAGGUAUUGACCCCUUCUGUGCCGAAGCUAACGCAUUAAGUGCCCCGCCUGGGGAGUACGGCCGCAAGGUUAAAACUCAAA
rnacentral:rRNA from 1 species